UAAUCCCCCAUAGGCCUGAGGUACUGGAAGGUCCUCAGGCCGAAAGGGGCUCUGCCCGCCCGAGGAUGGGCCGGCGGCCGAUUAGGUAGUUGGUGGGGUAACGGCCCACCAAGCCGAAGAUCGGUACGGGCCAUGAGAGUGGGAGCCCGGAGAUGGACACUGAGACACGGGUCCAGGCCCUACGGGGCGCAGCAGGCGCGAAACCUCCGCAAUGCGGGCAACCGCGACGGGGGGACCCCCAGUGCCGUGGCAACGCCACGGCUUUUCCGGAGUGUAAAAAGCUCCGGGAAUAAGGGCUGGGCAAGGCCGGUGGCAGCCGCCGCGGUAAUACCGGCGGCCCGAGUGGUGGCCGCUAUUAUUGGGCCUAAAGCGUCCGUAGCCGGGCCCGUAAGUCCCUGGCGAAAUCCCACGGCUCAACCGUGGGGCUUGCUGGGGAUACUGCGGGCCUUGGGACCGGGAGAGGCCGGGGGUACCCCUGGGGUAGGGGUGAAAUCCUAUAAUCCCAGGGGGACCGCCAGUGGGGAAGGCGCCCGGCUGGAACGGGUCCGACGGUGAGGGACGAAGGCCAGGGGAGCGAACCGGAUUAGAUACCCGGGUAGUCCUGGCUGUAAAGGAUGCGGGCUAGGUGUCGGGCGAGCUUCGAGCUCGCCCGGUGCCGAAGGGAAGCCGUUAAGCCCGCCGCCUGGGGAG
rnacentral:rRNA from 1 species